GACAAGGUGUCCGAGUGGUUAAGGGUAAGAUUUCUUAUAUCUCCACUAUUCUUCAGACUCCCCGUACUAACUCCACAAAGAGUGUGACUAGAAAUCACAUGGGUUCGCCCGCGUAGGUUCAAGUCCUGCCCUUGUCG